GUGCUCACUUUCGCAGCACACAUACUAAAACUGGAACAAUACAGAGAAGAUUAGUAUGGCCCUUGCACAAAGAUGACAUGCACAUUUGUGAACUGUAGAAAAAAAAA